CGGGAGACCGCGGAUGGGCAGGGUCUGCGAAGGGGCGGCGGCCGGCAGGGACAAUGGGCACAGCUGCUGGCGAACGGCCCGGCCCUUCGCCGGCUGCAGCGGACACGUGUCGGUCGCUGCGUUUGGAGGGACGGACUUAAUGGUGGCCUCGCAGCGGGCGGAGCGGGACAGGUUUGCAAAGCAAAGCCCUCCCCGCAGGAUCUGGGGCUCACUCUGGCCCGGGAGCCCAGGACCGGAGGCCCAGGAAAGGGCGCAGGGGCACAGGACGCCCGGGACCCGCCCCUCCGGGUAGGGUCUGGGGGCGGAAAUCCUUCCUGGGACCCCCCAGCGGCGAGUGGGGACCGGACGCGGGUCCCGACCUGUGCCGGCGCUCACCUGGUGGCCCGCUCGGAGGCGGCGGCAGGCAAAGAUCCCCUUCCCCCCGCUGCUCCGGGAGGCGGGCGGGGGCUCCCCGGAUCGGCCCCCCAGGGAGCCCCGGGGCGGGCGGUCCUCCCCCGGGGGUGCUGGCGGCCGCGGCGGCUCUGGAUGCGGCCCGCCCUCCUCGGGCGGCUGUGCCGGCGGGCGGGACCCGGGAGCGCGGCGGGCGCCGGGCCGGGCCCAGCUGCCACGAGGCGGGCGGGGACCAGAGCCAGCCCCGCGCUCCCGGGUCUGGGGGCCCGCCCCUCGGGGAGCCUGCGCGGUCCCCACGUGGGGACCUGCGGCCCCGGCGCCCCGCGAUCUGACACCUGGGUCCCCGGCGCCCAGCCCGCCGCCUCCUCUGGGGACGCCCCCGGUUCCCCCAGGACCCCCAGACCCGGGUUUCUUUCUCACCCCGGCCUCCCGCCUCCAGCCGCCUCCGCCAUUCGCAACACCUCCCCACCAUCUGUCCCCUGCUCUUACGUGGCUUAGCUGAGACUGUGACGCUGGGCCUGGUUUGAAACACUGGAUCAGAGUUCCUCCCGCGGGGAUCCUCUCUAACUUACAUCGUGUCCCCAGAGCCUCGGAAACCCGGCCUGCUCCCACGCUGAGCCUCGCUACCCCGCUUACUUCUCUGCGGCCGCGACAACCUGUGCCCCCUGCUUUGGAAACCCGCCUCCCCCGCCUGUAUGACACACAACUGGAUUAACCCGAGGUUCAGGGCCAGCGAGGCCGAGGCCACCAGCUAUUUGUCCCCUGCCCUCUGCCCUUGGGCCCGCACCGUUCCUGCAUUGCCCUAGAUUGUCCAAAGGUCCUCAAGUGACUGCUCUCAGACAUCCCAGGGCCGGUCCCCUGAAUGCCAGGCCGCCCACCACGAGUAAAGCCUCGCUGGCACUCGCUCAUGGUGUGCACUGUGCGCGAUGCUUUAUAGGCACGACCCCAGGGACGCUCUCCUGGGAAACUGAGGCCCAGAGAAAUGUAGGCUCUGCACCCGGUGCAAGUCGCUUGCUUGGGGGGAGGGGGGGUGGUCACACGACAGGAAAGUGUUCGGGCGUGGGUUCCCCGGUCCCCUCCGCUAGGAGCUUCUGCAAGGGACCCCAGCGCCAUUGCCAGGACCGCGUGGGAUCCCGCGUGCAGCGCCGAGGGAUCCUUACCUCUCCGUCACCUGGACCCACCGCCUUUCCGAGCAUUUCUGUCGCAGAAGGCGAUAGGAGGCAUAUACCGUACACAGAGUUCUGCAAUAGUCCCAGCAGAGUGACGGCCGUGCUCCGUGAUCUCGCGAUGUUUCUGCUUCAAAGCGCGUCUGGAGAGGAGCACACGCGUAGCGGAGGAAUAGAAGUUAUAAAUCCCCCCGAUGUCGCUUCAGUCGGGUCUUACUGGGUGGAGAGCUGGGGGCCUAAUUGGUGAAGAAAGUUUGCUUGCGGACUGGAGAUAAUAGCAAUGACUUUUUCUUUCUUUUAUUGAUACCAUCAAUAAGCGCCUGCUGUGCACCAGAUGCAGACCGCAUGGAUGAUGUGGGUUUACAGGCACCAUGCGAUUUAUGUCAAUAAAGGAUACCAGCUUAUUUUAGAUGAGUUAGAAAAAUCACAGGGGACUCCAGUAAAAUAAUUGGAUCAUCAAAGGAUGCUAAAACCAUUGGUAAAGGUUGUUGCGGAACAUUCUAGAAUCAUCCCCCCCCCCAGAUGACUUAUUCAUUACAAAGGGGAAAAAAUGUACCUACCUAGUGAGGGGGAGUGGGUUCUGGCAGACACCCUCUUAACCGAGUGAUCAAUAUCCCCAAAGUGGGACAGCGUGACAUCAAGUCAAGUGCCUCUUGAUGUGAAACUAUAGGAAGUACACAAAAGUGCCUAUGCGGAACUCUUGUAAAAAAAAAAAAAAAAAGCUAAACCUGUGUUUAGUAAUGAAGGAUAUACCCAAGAUAACUGGCCAGGGCUUUUUUCAAAAAAAGAGACGUAACACCCAAAUGCGGUGUGCACGGUGACCGGGUCCCGGCUGGGCCGUUCGCUCUGGGUGCUCUCUUGCUCUGCUGGUUUCUUCUCCUGUCUGGUGCUGCUCUCCUGCUCCUAGCCAUUCUCCAAGGAGAGGCGAGGCCACUGCCUGGAGGUGAUGGCGGUGUGCUUUCUGCUGGAAGCCUGGGCCUGUUUUCCUCUGCCCUUGAGUUGGAGCAUGAAUGGCAGCUUUGUGGCCGGGUGUGGGGCUAGCCGCCAGGCUGGCCUCACAUGUGGGUUGGUGAGGCCAGGAGCCCACUUCCUGCCACCCCUCCCUUCUACCACAAGUGCCAGAAGAGGACUGGCUUUUUUAAGAAGCCAGCCCCUCCCUCGUUCCCACCUCAGCUGUCAGAGAGUUGGGUCUUCUUAGGGAUCCACCCUGCAGUCCUUGUUUUCCUCGACGUGAGUGGGGGGUGGCCUGUGCCCUGGAGAAAGGGGACGUGGGAUGGUGCACAAAAUGCAGGCAGGCUGUCAUCGGGGCCGUCUUGGCUAUCUUUUCUCACUCCUGCCUCCUCCCCACAACCCAGGUGAUGCUGGGUUCCCUCUUGCGGGCAGCCCUCUCCUGAAUGACCUCUGAUUCCUGUCCCCACGCCUCUACCUGAUUUGUCUGCCAGAACUGUGUGGGCAUCUCCCCAGUGGAGAUGGUCUCUGUGGGUCAUUGACUAAUGGUCCCCUAAAGAUGUCCACGCCUGGAUCCUUGGAACCUGCGAAUGUUCCCUUACAUGGCAAAAGGGAUAUUGCAGAUGGAGGAGGUGAAGGAUCUUGAAACGGGGAGGUUAACCUGGUUUCUCUGGGCGGGUCCUGAAUGGAAUCCCAGUGGUCCUCCUAAGAGGGGGACAGGAGGAGGCGGGGAUGGCAGUGGACAACAGAAGCAGAGAUUGCAGUGACGAGAUGUGAAGAGCGAGGAAGAGGCCACCAGCCCAGGAAGAAAGGUGGAAGAAACCAGGAAGAAAGGUGGCCGCUAGACACUGAAAAAGGCAAGGACACGGAUUCCCCACUCAGCAUCUCCAGAAGGGACCAACCGGGCCAACACCUUGACUUCAGCCCAGUGAAACUGACUUGGAACUUUUAACUCCCAGAACGCUAAAAGAAUACAUUGUGUUGUUUUAAGGCACUAAGCUGAUGGCAAUUUGUUCCAGCAGCCACAGGAAAGAACACAGUCUCCUUCUCAAUCUUUUUGCCGUUGUCAGUUGACUUGCUUUUUUAUUCCACUGCUUUAUACAAAUGAGAGAGUGUAAGGACACUCUGAGAUGGCGGGCUCCGGGUCAGACCUUAUCUCUUGGUGACACCCCUAAUUCCUGAGCUCCCCAAGGCAAGUCUCUGUGUUGUCAGUUUCCUUAUGGUGUGAGGAUCAAGUCGGACGAUGCCGAAGUCACGGGUUGGCAGCCUCCAGUUUAGAGUAGACCCACAGGAGGAUCUCCUCUCCUGGUUUCAGGGGCACCGUGAGCCCCUGGGUCAGUCAUUAGCCUGACAAUCUGAUUUUUCUGUCUCAUUGAGUCUGCGUUCCACCCCUGGGAGCUCUCCGGAACUCUGUUUUGUCUCCUGUCAAGAACCCGUUGCAGGUCCUUCCAGUUGUGGGACGUGGGACGCCACCUCAACAUGUCCUAAGGAGCAGUGCCAUGUCUGCACCCAGGAUCCGAACACUGGGCCGCCACAGCGGAGCGCAUGAACUUACCCACUUGGCCAUGGAGCCGGCCCCUCUUUCCCUUCUUUGUCUGUCUCAUUCAUCACCUCCUCUGUUGUCACCAAGUUGACGUUAAGUUUGAGCUGGACCUGAGCAGAACCUGGAUCUUCUAUAAAAUCAAAAACUUGAAAAACUUUCUGCCAGGGACUUAACUCUCAACCCUGGCAUUGAGAGCCUCAGCCUCCGGCCUGCCCCAGGCCUUUGCCUCUUGCCUCCUGGGCUUGCCUUGUUCUGGCUCAGGGACUAAGUGCCUGGGCUGAAUGGGACUUGACUAAAUCUUAUAACUAUGUUGACACCUGCAGUUGGGCUCUGCACGCUACUCCGGCUGCUGACAGCCAGACACUGAUGGUGCUUUACCACCAUGGGGAACGCCCAAAGCAUCCCCAGAGACUCACCCCUCGAGUGCAUUUUAACUAAUUGAGAACAGUUUCAACUGGAUGGGUUAUGCCCCAGAAACUCCAUCUGGGAGAAAACUUGAGUGGUUUCUCUGUGCCUUUAUGAAGCAAUUGGACAGGUAGAUGAAUUCAUAACCCAAUUUCUGAGAAAUCAAGAGCAAUGAUCCUUAAAAAAAUCCUUGCAAGACUGGAAAUGCAGCUCUAGAGGCAGGUCAAGUUCCACCCAUUUCCUUUAUCUCAAAGAGCUUGCCAACCCUCCAGGGAAUAUCUAGCCCAUCACAAAUUCUUAAGACUGAAAGGGGGAAAAAAAGGAAAAAAGAAAAAAAAAAAGGCCAAAAGAGUGCUCCUGCCAAAAAUCUAGCAUCUUGAAUGUCUUCUCCACAAAUAUUAGUAAAAAGUCUUUUUUUUGUUUGUUUUUGAGGAAGAUUAGCCCUGAGCUAACAUCUGCCACCAAUCCUCCCUCUGCCGAGGAAGACUGGCCUGAGCCAACAUCGUGCCUGUCUUCCUCCACCUCACACGUGGUACGUCCACCACAGCAUGUCCCGCCAAGCGAUGCCAUGUUUGCACCCGGGAUCCGAACCAGUGAACCCCGGGCCACCGAAGCAGAAUGUGUGAAAUUAACCACUGCACCACCAGGCAGGCCCCUAGUGAAAAGUCUUAAAACAAAAUUUGGAUUCAUAACUAGUGUAUUACUGUACCUGAUUCAUGCUAGUCAUUUUAAAACAAUAGAUGUGGAGACUCUGUGCAUGUGUAUCUUCAUGUAUAUUAUACAUGUGUGAUAUUUUACCUCUGGAUGGAUGGCUAAAAUUAAGAGCCCUCUUUAAUUGGCUCAAAGUAAACACUUACCUAAAUUACUUCUAAAUGUAAAAGAAACUAACCAAAAUGUCUUUCAUUAACGUGAUAAAGUUAAUAUUUGGUAAAUGAAAGCUUAUUUAUGUUUGUUGGUUUGAUUAAAAUGGACAUGUCCUCCAGAGUUAGCACCGGAUAUGAUGCAGACUUGCAGGCUUUAUUCUACGUUUAUUGGUCAAACAAGCUGAUGUAAUCUCUGUUACAAAAAUGGCAACAAAAAUAACAACUUAAAAUGAUGGCUAAUUUUGUGUAAUGUCUCAUGAAGUUUUGCAGGCAAUCUAAAUAAUUAUUGGGAAUGAGUAAACUGAAUAGAAGUGAACAAGAUAAAAAUGUUGGGUGAACUUUUUAACAGUAAUUAUGUGUUAUGCCAUGUGUAUUUAAAAUAACUUUCAAAAUCUUUCUUGUAACUUGAAGCUUUGAGGUUUCAUUAGGUGAAAUUAAGAGAUAAAAAACUCAUUGGAUAUCUGGGCCAUUUUCAAAUAAGAUAAUAUACUGAUACAUUAUUGCUAAACACAUCUAAGUUUAUCUACUUUUGGCUUCUUAUUACAGAGAAACUAAAAGAUGUUUGGGUCUAUUGGUAAGCAUGUCUUGUAUUUUAUUAAGACUGUACUAUGAAGUAGGAUGUUUCUAGAAAUUAUGGAAAGUAUUUAUAAAUUUGUCAAGC
rnacentral:lncRNA from 1 species